rnacentral:rRNA from 1 species
GACGAACGCUGGCGGCGUGCUUAACACAUGCAAGUCGAACGGUGAAGCUCCAGCUUGCUGGAGUGGAUCAGUGGCGAACGGGUGAGUAACACGUGAGCAACCUGCCCCUGACUCUGGAACAAGCGCUGGAAACGGCGUCUAAUACUGGAUACGAGAAGGGUCCGCAUGGGCACUUUCUGGAAAGUUUUUCGGUUGGGGAUGGGCUCGCGGCCUAUCAGCUUGUUGGUGAGGUAAUGGCUCACCAAGGCGACGACGGGUAGCCGGCCUGAGAGGGCGACCGGCCACACUGGGACUGAGACACGGCCCAGACUCCUACGGGAGGCAGCAGUGGGGAAUAUUGCACAAUGGGCGAAAGCCUGAUGCAGCGACGCCGCGUGAGGGAUGACGGCCUUCGGGUUGUAAACCUCUUUCAGCAGGGAAGAAGCGAAAGUGACGGUACCUGCAGAAGAAGCACCGGCUAACUACGUG